rnacentral:rRNA from 1 species
GAACGGGUGAGUAACACGUGGGCAAUCUGCCCUUCACUCUGGGACAAGCCCUGGAAACGGGGUCUAAUACCGGAUACGACCACUGGAGGCAUCUUCGGUGGUGGAAAGCUCCGGCGGUGAAGGAUGAGCCCGCGGCCUAUCAGCUUGUUGGUGGGGUAAUGGCCUACCAAGGCGACGACGGGUAGCCGGCCUGAGAGGGCGACCGGCCACACUGGGACUGAGACACGGCCCAGACUCCUACGGGAGGCAGCAGUGGGGAAUAUUGCACAAUGGGCGAAAGCCUGAUGCAGCGACGCCGCGUGAGGGAUGACGGCCUUCGGGUUGUAAACCUCUUUCAGCAGGGAAGAAGCGAAAGUGACGGUACCUGCAGAAGAAGCGCCGGCUAACUACGUGCCAGCAGCCGCGGUAAUACGUAGGGCGCAAGCGUUGUCCGGAAUUAUUGGGCGUAAAGAGCUCGUAGGCGGCUUGUCACGUCGGAUGUGAAAGCCCGGGGCUUAACCCCGGGUCUGCAUUCGAUACGGGCAGGCUAGAGUGUGGUAGGGGAGAUCGGAAUUCCUGGUGUAGCGGUGAAAUGCGCAGAUAUCAGGAGGAACACCGGUGGCGAAGGCGGAUCUCUGGGCCAUUACUGACGCUGAGGAGCG